GAUGAAGAACGUAGCGAAAUGCGAUAAGUAAUGUGAAUUGCAGAAUUCCGUGAAUCAUCGAAUCUUUGAACGCACAUUGCGCCCCCUGGCAUUCCGGGGGGCAUGCCUGCCCGAGCGUCAUUUCUGCCCUCCAGCCCGGCUGGGUGUUGGGCGCUGUCCCCCCGGGGACACGCCCCAAAGGCAGUGGCGGCGCCGCGUCGGGUCCUCGAGCGUAUGGGGCUUUGUCACCCGCUCGGGACGGACUCGUCGGCGCUGGUCUUCCUCCAGGCGACCCUUCGGGGCUCGUCUUCCUUCGGUUGACCUCGGAUCAGGUAGGGUUACCCGCUGAACUUAAGCAUAUCAAUAAGCGGAGGA
rnacentral:misc_RNA from 1 species